GACAGAGGGGGCAAGCGUUGCUCGGAAUUACUGGGCGUAAAGGGCGCGUAGGCGGGAUGGCAAGUCGGUCGUGAAAUCUCCGGGCUUAACCCGGAAAGGUCAACUGAUACUGCGGGGCUAGAGUGCAGAAGGGGCAACUGGAAUUCUCGGUGUAGCGGUGAAAUGCGUAGAUAUCGAGAGGAACACCUGCGGCGAAGGCGGGUUGCUGGGCUGACACUGACGCUGAACUGCGAAAGCUAGGGGAGCGAACGGG
rnacentral:rRNA from 1 species